rnacentral:rRNA from 1 species
GGUUACCUACGGGGGGCAGCAGUGGGGAAUAUUGCACAAUGGGGGAAACCCUGAUGCGGCGACGCCGCGUGAGCGAAGAAGUAUCUCGGUAUGUAAAGCUCUAUCAGCAGGGAAGAAAAUGACAGUACCUGACUAAGAAGCCCCGGCUAACUACGUGCCAGCAGCCGCGGUAAUACGUAGGGGGCAAGCGUUAUCCGGAUUUACUGGGUGUAAAGGGAGCGUAGACGGCAGCGCAAGUCUGGAGUGAAAUCCCAUGGCUUAACCAUGGAACUGCUUUGGAAACUGUGCAGCUAGAGUGCAGGAGA